rnacentral:rRNA from 1 species
UACGGGGGGGGCAAGCGUUGUUCGGAAUUACUGGGCGUAAAGGGCUCGUAGGCGGCCAACUAAGUCAUACGUGAAAUCCCUCGGCUUAACCGGGGAACUGCGUCUGAUACUGGAUGGCUUGAGUUCGGGAGAGGGAUGCGGAAUUCCAGGUGUAGCGGUGAAAUGCUUAGAUAUCGUCAAGAACACCAAUAGUGAAGACAGCUUACUAGGCUUAUACUGACGCUGAGGCACGAAAGUGUGGGGAUCAAACAGG